GAUGAACGCUGGCGGCGUGCCUAAUACAUGCAAGUCGAGCGAACAGAUAAGGAGCUUGGUCCUUGGACGUUAGGGGCGAACGGGUGAGUAACACGUGGGUAACCUACAUAUAAGGCUGGGAUAACUUCGGGACACCGGAGCUAAUACCGGAUAACAUUUAGAACCGCAGGGUUCUACAGUGAAAGAUGGUUUUGCUGUCACUUAUAGAUGGACCCGGGCCGAAUUAGGUAGUUGGUAAGGUAACGGCUUACCAAGGCAACGAUACGUAGCCGACAUGAGAGGGUCGUCGGCCAGACGGGCACAGAGAAAGGGUCCAGACUCCGACGGGAGGAAGCAGUAGGGAAUCUUACGCAAUGGGGGAGAGCGUGACGGAGCAAAGUGGGGGGAGGGAUGAAGGGUCUAGGCUGGGUAAACGCUGUUAGUAGGGAAGAAGUAAAGUGUAAGUAACCGUGACGGUAUUGACGGUACCGAAUGAGAAAGCCACGGCUAACUACGUG
rnacentral:rRNA from 1 species